UCAGCCUAAUCAGCAAAAUGUAGUGUCUUCUCUCCAGCCGUGAUGUGUCACGGUUUUAUGUAGCGUUCUGUAUAAUUUUAUUUUAUUAUGUGGACCACAAACAGAGAUAUUGUGGGUCAGCGGAAGUCCAGGCAAAGAGAAGGUAUUGUAGUUUUUGGAGAAAGAAGAACUCUUUGCUAAGCAGAAAGGAAUCACAGAGGCAGCUGUGCAACAGAAACACAGCAAUCGGAUUCAACAGGGCCCUCCACAGAACUGUUGGCUGAAGUGUCAAUGGUUAGGGCCUUGAAAAUGCAAACACCACUCCAACACCAUGUCACCAGCACCUCAAAACAAUGAACUGCUUAGAAUGUACAUCUGCAAGAUUGAUUUUGAUUAAUUACAGUGAUUUUCACCCUUGCUUCAAUGAGCGUGUAACUCAACGGUUGGAAUGCAGGACAGUUUUGAAAAUGUGGUCAUGAUAGAAAUGUAAAAUCCACUUCAAAAUGCAGGUGCAUUAACUGAACUGUAGUGAAAGAGCACUAAUCUUAUGUUAAAUUGAUAUGCUUACUACUGCAGUAUGUUGGAUGCAUAUAACAUUGUUCCUCUUUUAAUUUUUGCCAUGUUGUAAGUAUAUUGUAUUAAAGAUUG